rnacentral:pre_miRNA from 1 species
UGCGGCGCCGCCUGAUACUCGGUCUCAACCUCGGGUAUUUUGCGCAGGUGAGCAAAGUCUCAGGUGUAGCUGCGC